CCUACGGGAGGCAGCAGUGAGGAAUAUUGGUCAAUGGGCGGAAGCCUGAACCAGCCAAGUAGCGUGCAGGAUGACGGCCCUACGGGUUGUAAACUGCUUUUAUACGGGAAUAACGCGACUUACGUGUAGGGCUUUGCAGGUACCGUAUGAAUAAGGACCGGCUAAUUCCGUGCCAGCAGCCGCGGUAAUACGGAAGGUCCGGGCGUUAGCCGGAUUUAUUGGGUUUAAAGUGAGCGUAGGCCGCAUGUCAAGUGUGCUGUGAAAUGUCCGGGCUCAACCCGGGGCUUGCAGCGCGAACUGGCGUGCUUGAGUCCGGGGAAAGCAGGCGGAAU
rnacentral:rRNA from 1 species